UACAAUAGAAUUGACGAAGAAAAUGUAAUAACAGAUAAUAACUGCUUAGAAACAAUAGUAGUUAAGACAAAUGAUGCUCCUAGUGAUACUUCAGUUUACAAAGAGACACAAGAACCCAUUCCCAGCACUAGUAAAGGCACGUGCUCUACAGUUUAUAGAGUGGAUGAUAAUUUACCUUUAGAUAUUGUACCGGUACCGUAUAAACGGUGUGAUUCGUUUUUGGAAAAACUUCCAAAUCUGGAAGUGACAUACGAGCUUGAUUUGAAAAAAUUUUUGCAAAAUUCUAUAAAAGGUCGUAAUAUAUUG